rnacentral:rRNA from 1 species
AGGACGAACGCUGGCGGCGUGCUUAACACAUGCAAGUCAAGGGGGCCCAGCAAUGGGCAACCGGCGAACGGGUGCGUAACACGUGAGCAACCUACCGAAAUGUGGGGGAUAGCCGGCCUAACGGCCGAGUAAUACCGCAUACGCUCUCGAUGAGGCAUUUCAUUGAGAGGAAACCUACGGGACAUUUCGAGGGGCUCGCGGCCUAUCAGCCAGUUGGCGAGGUAACGGCUCACCAAGGCAACGACGGGUAGCU